rnacentral:snRNA from 1 species
UUUGCUUCUUAGCCUUUUGACUAAGAUCAAAUGUAGUAUCUGUUCUUAUCAGUUUAAUAUGAUAUGUUUUCUAAUGGAGGACAAUAUAUUAAAUGGAUGUGUGGAGAAGGAAGGUAGAAUAGGAGCCUGUUCUGUCCACUCCAUGCAUCAACCUGGCAUUGCAGUAACUCUAUGAACUAUGAACACACA